GAGGGUAUAGCUCAAGUGGUAGAGCGCAUGCUUAGCAUGCACGAGGUCCUGGGUUCAAUCCCCAGAACUUCCU
rnacentral:tRNA from 1 species